GACGAACGCUGGCGGCGUGCCUAAUACAUGCAAGUAGAACGCACAGUUUAUACCGUAGCUUGCUACACCAUAGACUGUGAGUUGCGAACGGGUGAGUAACGCGUAGGUAACCUGCCUGGUAGCGGGGGAUAACUAUUGGAAACGAUAGCUAAUACCGCAUAAUAUUGAUUAUUGCAUGAUAAUUGAUUGAAAGAUGCUAUUGCAUCACUACCAGAUGGACCUGCGUUGUAUUAGCUAGUAGGUGAGGUAACGGCUCACCUAGGCGACGAUACAUAGCCGACCUGAAAGGGUGAUCGGCCAAACUGGGACGGGGACACGGCCCAGAAUCCUACGGGAGGCAGCAGUAGGGAAUCUUCGGCAAUGGACGAAAGUCUGAACGAGCAACGCCGCGUGAGUGAAGAAGGGUUUCGGAUCGUAAAGCUCUGGUGUAAGAGAAGAACGGGUGGGAGAGUGGAAAGUUCACACUGUGACGGUAUCUUACCAGAAAGAGACGGCUAACUACGUG
rnacentral:rRNA from 1 species